GGCUGCCUAAUACAUGCAAGUUCGAGCGGAGUUGAUGAGAAGCUUGCUUUCUCUGAUGGUUAGCGGCGGACGGGUGAGUAACACGUAGGCAACCUGCCCUCAAGUUUGGGACAACUACCGGAAACGGUAGCUAAUACCGAAUAAUUGUUUUCUUCGCCUGAAGGAAACUGGAAAGACGGAGCAAUCUGUCACUUGGGGAUGGGCCUGCGGCGCAUUAGCUAGUUGGUGAGGUAACGGCUCACCAAGGCGACGAUGCGUAGCCGACCUGAGAGGGUGAUCGGCCACACUGGGACUGAGACACGGCCCAGACUCCUACGGGAGGCAGCAGUAGGGAAUCUUCCGCAAUGGGCGAAAGCCUGACGGAGCAAUGCCGCGUGAGUGAUGAAGGUUUUCGGAUCGUAAAGCUCUGUUGCCAGGGAAGAACGCUUGGGAGAGUAACUGCUCUCAAGGUGACGGUACCUGAGAAGAAAGCCCCGGCUAACUACGUGCCAGCAGCCGCGGUAAUACGUAGGGGGCAAGCGUUGUCCGGAAUUAUUG
rnacentral:rRNA from 1 species